UCUCCGUUGGUGAACCAGCGGAGGGAUCAUUACUGAGUGAGGGUUUAACCGCCCGACCUCCAACCCUUUGUGAAUCGUACUCGUUGCUUCGGGGGCGACCCUGCCUUUCGGCGCGGCGCCCCCGGAGCCCAUCAAACCCUGCGUAACUAAGUCGUCGGAGUUUAAACAAAUUAAACAAAACUUUCAACAACGGAUCUCUUGGUUCUGGCAUCGAUGAAGAACGCAGC
rnacentral:misc_RNA from 1 species